GUGAAGUGAUUUGUUCUUUAGGAGUGUUUUUCUCUUGAACAGCGCUCCGUGUGGAGACUUGAGGUAGUUCUGUAGUCACAGGUGCACAAAUCAGUCACACAGCUCCAGCUCCACCUGCGCCUCUCGCAGGGAAACGGUUUCUGUGCACUGGCUCCGUCCCAAAUCACCUUGUAUGGAAUCUCUAUCUCUAGUGCACUAGGUGCGGUAGAGACUACAUUUGUUCAGACCGUGUGUAGUGUACCUAGAUACGCAGUCGUGCAGGAUUUGGGCACAGGCCACGCUAAUGAAGCAUCAUCUAUUUCAAGUCAAGUUGCUAUUGUUAAACAUUUCACUAAAACCUGUAUGGAAACGUUGCUGUUCAGUUGUUCUAUAAGCGCAAUUUCAACCAAAUACAUUGGAGUGUAAAAGUUUGUACCCCCUUUUGGUUUCUUGUGGACAGAAGGGUGUUAAAUGUCCUAAACACUACAAAAUUUGACUUGUCCAAAGCCCGUGGUGGUGGCAGUGCAUGGCGUGUGUGUGGGAGCAGGAGUGGAUCUAAUCACAGCCUGUGAUAUUCGUCUAUGCACACAGGAUGCCUUUUUUCAGGUGAAGUCGUGUGUUCCCUGAUAGUCAGUGAUUGCCGGAGCUCUGGAAAUAGCAGGUGAGAUUGCAGGCCGGAGUCCCGUCGCUGUCCAGGGAAUUAAAAUCAACCUCCUCUACUCCUGAGACCACAGUGUAACUGAGAGCCUAGACUACAUGGCUACUUGGAACAUGAACAUGUUGCAGACACAGGAUCUUAUGAAGUCAGCGCAAACAGCCCUGGAAAAGAAGAGUCCGAAAGACGUGCCUUUCUCCAAGCUUUAAAAGAGAAGAUCCAGGGAUGUUGAAGCUGUGGUGGAACUGAGACUUCAUAAU
ensembl:lncRNA